GGUCGAUGAUUAAGUUGUAAGAGUAGUGGACAGGAUUGAUUUCUGAGAAAUUUUAACAAUGAGGCC
rnacentral:snoRNA from 1 species